rnacentral:rRNA from 1 species
UACGGAGGAUGCAAGCGUUAUCCGGAAUUAUUGGGCGUAAAGCGUCCGCAGGUGGCACUUCAAGUCUGUCGUCAAAGACCGGGGCUUAACCCUGGAAAGGCGAUGGAAACUGAAAGGCUAGAGAGAGGUAGGGGUAGAGGGAAUUCCCGGUGUAGCGGUGAAAUGCGUAGAGAUCGGGAAGAACAUCGGUGGCGAAAGCGCUCUGCUGGACUGCAACUGACACUCAGGGACGAAAGCUAGGGGAGCGAAUGGG